rnacentral:rRNA from 1 species
CCCUUAGAUGUUCUGGGCCGCACGCGCGCUACAUUGACUGACUCAACGAGUGUACAACCUGCUUCGACAGAAGUGGGUAAUCUUUUGAAAUUCAGUCGUGAUGGGGCUAGAUUAUUGCAACUAUUAAUCUUCAACGAGGAAUGCCUAGUAAGCGCGAAUCAUCAGUUCGCGUUGAUUACGUCCCUGCCCUUUGUACACACCGCCCGUCGCUCCUACCGAUUGGGUGCUCCGGUGAAUUGUUUGGACUGCUGUCAGUCUUUUAGGCUGUUGGCGAGAAGCUCUGUGAACCUUAGCACCUAGAGGAAGGAGAAGUCGUAACA